CCUACGGGUGGCAGCAGUGAGGAAUAUUGGUCAAUGGCCGAGAGGCUGAACCAGCCAAGUCGCGUGAGGGAAGACUGCCCUACGGGUUGUAAACCUCUUUUGUCGGGGAGUGAAGCGAACCACGUGUGGCUCAUUGUGAGUACCCGAAGAAAAAGCAUCGGCUAACUCCGUGCCAGCAGCCGCGGUAAUACGGAGGAUGCGAGCGUUAUCCGGAUUUAUUGGGUUUAAAGGGUGCGCAGGCGGAGGUGCAAGUCAGCGGUCAAAUUGCGGGGCUCAACCCCGUACUGCCGUUGAAACUGCAUGCCUUGAGUGCGCGAGAGGUAUGCGGAAUGCGUGGUGUAGCGGUGAAAUGCAUAGAUAUCACGCAGAACUCCGAUUGCGAAGGCAGCAUACCGGCGCGCAACUGACGCUGAUGCACGAAAGCGUGGGUAUCGAACAGGAUUAGAUACCCUGGUAGUC
rnacentral:rRNA from 1 species